AACGCUCUGCUUUUCUUCCCAAAUUACUUAUCUACUCACCAGUCUCGCACUCUCACCACAACAUGAAAUUCCGGUGAGUUUUCCACAACAAAAGCGAUUUUCUAAACUCAAUUUCAUUGUAAUUUACGGGCUGAGAUCUCAAAAUUAACGGUAUUAUUUUUCACGAGCUCCUAUUAAUAAUAGUAAUAUUCAAUUUAAAGUUUGUUUCUCAUUAAAAACUGAUUAUUUUUUUUUUCGAUUGAGGUAUAGGGUUUUUCCUCAUGCUUUUUAUUAGUGAAAUUAUGUUGUUUGAAUUCGUUUUGCCUGGAUUGGGUUCAAUUAAUUGUUGUGUAAUUAGGGUUUAUUUGGAUUCCUUUUAUGAAUUCUCUUACAAGGUUUAAAUUGGAUCAGUUUCUGAAUAUAUAGUUUUGAUAAAUGUUGGCUGAAUUUUGUUAUUUCUUAAUUGCAUUGGAGUGUUCUUGGUUAAAUCCGUGUAUAUCAUGUGUUGUGGUUGUGUUCUUGCUCAGUUAGAUUAUCAAAAACUCGAACUUCUAAUUUUUUUUUCUUUUGGAAAUUGUUUAUCUAAUUUUGGUGGUUAUGUUGAUAUUUCAGUGAUUUAUCAAUUUUCUUUUGAAUAAGUUGGGAUUUUGGUGGUUAAGUUGAUAUAUUAAUGUUUUUUAUCUAAUUUAAUAUAGUCCAUUAGAUUAAUACUUUGUUAAGAUAAGGAAGAAUAUCUUAGGUAAUAUAUUUGAUAUAUUUGUGUUUAUAUUUGUGUUAUCUUUAGGUAGGAUAAUAUUUACUAAAUAUUUCCUAAGAUAGGAAUUAGAUUCCUACGUUGAUUAGGUUUCUAAGAGAUGUGUAUACAAAUCAUUAGUAUACUCCCUUGCUGCUGCCCCCCUUCUGCGGCUCCCGUGGUGUUACUCCCUACUUUCGAUCUGCUGCUCCAUUAGUCCAUUACUGCUGCCCCCCUCUUUCUGCUGCCUCCCCUGCAUUCUGCAACUCAAACAAUGCAACGUAAGGUACUUGGUACUACAUAUUAUUAUUGAUUGUGUAUAUAUAGUUAUAAUAUUGUCUAUUUUAUGUACAGUAUAUAUAAUUAGAUAAAGCAACAAAUAUUGCCAUAAAAUACUAGUUCAUAGCGUUUAAAUUUUGAUAUUUUAUUGUGUUCAUAACCCCUUAAAGUUACUAAUCAGUCGCACUUGUUCUCGGAGGAUCAGUUUGCUCGAUUAACUUCAGAAUGCUCGUUCUCCUUCGUUAAAGGUCUUUUUAGGUGAUUCUUUUUUUGAAUUUGGGUGAAAAUUUGUCUACUUUCUGCCUGCAAAAUUUCAAAAUUUUUCGAGCACUUUUGCUAUUAAACUGGACUGUUUUCCGCAACUGUGUCAGUUUUAGUUCGAGUUAAUAGUUAUUGCUGUUUGUGUGCGAUUUUGUUCCAAGUUGUGCUGCGGUUUUUGCUUUGUUUUGUGCGCAUAUUGUGUGUAUAGAUCAUGGAAGACGAGGCUAUAUUCAAUUCAUGAAUAGACUACACAUUAUAUUCAAUAAUUCAUGUUUUCUUAAUUGUAACCAGUAUUUUAAUUGAUUAAGCAAAUAAAUUUGCACCCACCUCUGUGAUUGUGUCAUCAUAAUCCUAAUUGAAAUAAGCUAUAUACAUGGACUAUCAUAGGCGAUAAUUUGCAUUCUCCACAGCAAAUUUAGAAUGUGUUACUAUCUCUGUUUUAUAAUGCUUGUAAAAUUAGCUUAAUUUUAUUUCCUUUAUCAAAUCAAUGAAGCAUUUUAAUGAUUUUUUUUUUCUUUAAUUUAACUGCUUAUCUUUUGUUUCUGUCCUCAUCUAAAUUCUGAGUUCAAAUUGGUUUGAAUGAAAACUCUAAGUUGAAGGUAAAGAUUGAUAAAAUUAACAGUAACCGUGAAGAAUUUUCUAAGGUAUGCAGAUUAUCAAUUCUUAUAUGGUGUCAAUGCUGCAACUUGUGAAUUUUAUUUGAAAAGGACAUAAUCUUUCUUUAGGAACUUGCUCCUGUUCAAGGUCAGUUAAUAUCAGAGAGAUCAAGAUGUUUCAUGCAAAGGCUGCAAUUAUUCUAUAUCUAUUGAACAUGCUUUUUUUUUUUUUUUUUUUUACAAGAUCUGCUGAACAUGCCGGUGAAAAAUAAUUGUAUAUAGGGAGCAUACUGAUCUCCACUCAUCUGUUGUUUCAUCUAUCUACAUACUUAUCUAAACAUGGUUUAAAUUCUAUAUAACUAAGAAAUUGAUGGCGUACUUAUGAGACUUCGGGACACUUUUCGGCAUUGUGUCUUUUGGAGAAAACUCAUUCCAUGUGGUCCUUCAAGAAAGUUGCGUGCUGGAGAGAGUGUUCAUUCUGUGCCUUGGAUGCAUAUAGGCUAUUGCACCUUCAUUGGAAGAAAAGCUUGGAAAAUAAACCUGCUCCUGCAUAUGAUGUUGCUGGUUUUAUUGCUUCAUAUUUUGUGGAGAGGUAUCAGUUAAGCAACAAUUGCUUAGUUAUUCAGUGGUCUGGAGACAAUCCAAACAGCCUUGCAAGCAUAGUUAAUUUUGUUGUAUUUUACUAUUGUGGAUGAAUUCAAGUUGUAUGGAAAUAUUUGGAGUGCUUGUAUUGUAUGUUGUUGGUGAAUUCAAGUUAUGCGGAAGUGUUUGGAGUUCGUGUUUUGUUGGUUGAAUUGUAGCAGGUUAUAACACAUUUGACGAUGGGUCAUUUGGUAGGAUA